AAUUCAACAUCGAGGUCAUAAUCUUCUUCUUUUAUAAGGACUUAAGGAAGAAAUUGUGCUGUUAUCCCUACGGUAGCAUUGGUGGAAUCUCAGUUUGAGGAUAAAAGGGGGAAAGGAACAAAGAUUUGGUUUUUUACCGCCCCAGUAAAACAGAAGUAAAGUUCGAUAGGGUCUUGUCGUCCUUCUUAUAAAUACAAGUUUUUUUACUUGAGUGAAAAAUUAGAAAAGUCGGGGUAAUAAAGAAAUUUAUAUGUCAGACCUUUCAUUCUAGCCUCUAAUUAGAAGGCAAAUGAUUAUGCUACCUUAGCACAAGUUAAUUGCGGCUAUUUAAAGAUCAUUGAGCAGGUCCUACUGAAUAUUAGUUCAUUCAGAAAUGUUUUUGAUAAACAGACAAUAAAGAUUGGCCGAGUUCAUGAAUCUAGAUUUAAAUAAAAUUGCAAUGAGACGUUAUUUAAAGGAAUAGGUUAAGCAGAUUUUACUAAUAAAAUCAUUAUGAUAAUUUUUAGGAGGUUUUCUUUUAAGAAAAGUUUGGGGGGCAUAAAGGAGAAGUUUGGAAACUAAGGGGACACUAUUAAUCCUUGGGUUAGAAUAAUUAAUAAUGUGCAACUUGUUUAAAAGAUUAUCCCUUUAAAAAUUCUAGUACUCUUACUUUUAAAAAAAACCAGAUAUAUUGGAAUGCGGGUGGAAUUUCAUCUCUAUUUUUCUUUUUGUAAAGUUUUAUGCCACAAACUUGAACAGGAAAAAUAGAUCAUUUCAAUUUCGGGAGCAUUUUUUAAAAAGUAAAGGUUGAAUUUCCCUGAUACUAAAGGUACAUUUAUUUUCUAUUUUACGAAUGAUUAAUAUCCCUCACGGUAAAAGUAGAAAUGGAAAUAAACACAAAGCAAAAAAAUAUUUUUUUAGGCAAAGAUUAAAAUGGGAGGUU
rnacentral:rRNA from 1 species